rnacentral:rRNA from 1 species
AGAGUUUGAUCAUGGCUCAGAACGAACGCUGGCGGCGUGGAUAAGACAUGCAAGUCGAACGCUAAUCAUACUGCAGCAAUGUAGUAUGGUUGGAGUGGCGCAAGGGUGCGUAACACGUGGGUAAUUUGCCGUGAAGACUGGGAUAACUUGCUGAAAGGCGAGCUAAUACCGGAUGUGGAGAUUGGGAGGCAUCUUCUGAUUUCUGAAGUUGGGGACCGUAAGGCCUGACGCUUCACGAUAAGCCCGCGGCCUAUCAGCUAGUUGGUGAGGUAACGGCUCACCAAGGCGAAGACGGGUAGCUGGUCUGAGAGGACGACCAGCCUCACUGGAACUGAGAGACGGUCCAGACACCUACGGGUGGCAGCAGUCGAGAAUUUUUCUCAAUGGGGGAAACCCUGAAGGAGCGACGCCGCGUGGGGGAUGAAUGGCUUCGGCCCGUAAACCCCUGUCAUUUGCGAACAAUGUGUACUAUUUAAAAGAUGGUGCAUUGAUAGUAGCGAAAGAGGAAGGGACGGCUAACUCUGUGCCAGCAGCCGCGGUAAUACAGAGGUCCCGAGCGUUGUUCGGAUUCACUGGGCGUAAAGGGUGCGUAGGUGGUGAGGUAAGUCGGAUGUGAAAUCUCCAAGCUUAACUUGGAAAUGGCAUUGGAAACUACCUUGCUGGAGGUUUGGAGGGGGGACUGGAAUUCUCGGUGUAGCAGUGAAAUGCGUAGAUAUCGAGAGGAACACCAGUGGCGAAGGCGAGUCCCUGGACAAAACCUGACACUGAGGCACGAAAGCUAGGGGAGCAAACAGGAUUAGAUACCCUAGUAGUCC